GGCUCAGGAUGAACGCUGGCGGCGUGCUUAACACAUGCAAGUCGAACGGGCCGGAUCUUCGGAGACGGUCAGUGGCGGACGGGUGCGUAACACGUGGGUGACCUGCCCUGGAGUGGGGAAUAAUCCCGCGAAAGCGGGACUAAUACCGCAUAGGCUUGCCGAUUCAUUUCGGUGAGUAAAGCAGCAAUGCGCUUUGGGAUGGGCCUGCGGCGGAUUAGCUUUGGUGGGGUAACGGCCUACCAAGGCAAUGAUCCGUAGGGGACGUGAGAGCGUGAUCCCCCACAUUGGCACUGAGACACGGGCCAAACUCCUACGGGAGGCAGCAGUGAGGAAUAUUGCACAAUGGGCGAAAGCCUGAUGCAGCAACGCCGCGUGAGGGACGAAGGCCUUCGGGUCGUAAACCUCUUUUCUGAGGGAAGAGACAGGACGGUACCUCAGGAAUAAGUCUCGGCUAACUACAUGCCAGCAGCCGCGGUAAAACGUAGGAGGCGAGCGUUAUCCGGAUUUACUGGGCGUAAAGCGCACGCAGGCGGCUUCGUGAGUCGGAUGUGAAAGCUCCUGGCUUAACUGGGAGAGGCCAUUCGAUACUGCGAGGCUUGAGGUUGGGAGAGGGGUGUGGAAUUCCCGGUGUAGUGGUGGAAUGCGUAGAUAUCGGGAGGAACACCAGUGGCGAAGGCGGCACCCUGGCCCACACCUGACGCUGAGGUGCGAAAGCGUGGGUAGCAAACAGGAUUAGAUACCCUGGUAGUCCACGCCGUAAACUAUGUCAACUAGGUGUUGGUAGUGUUACACUAUCAGUGCCGAAGCUAACGCGUUUAGUUGACCGCCUGGGGACUACUAG
rnacentral:rRNA from 1 species